UAAUAAAGUACUAUUGCCGUU
ensembl:piRNA 21ur-1894 ncRNA